rnacentral:rRNA from 1 species
GAUGAACGCUGGCGGCGGGCCUAAUACAUGCAAGUCGAGCGAACAGAUAAGGAGCUUGCGCCUUUGUCGUUAGCGGCGGACGGGUGAGUGACACGUGGGUAACCUACCUAUAGGACUGUAAGAACUCCGGGAAACCGGGACUGAUGCCGGAUAACAUGUAUAACAGCAUGGUUCUGAAGUGAAAUAUGAUUUUUCUAGCUAUUGUAGAUGGAGCCGGGCCGUAUUAGGUAGGUGGGAAGGUAACGGCUUACCAAGGCAACGAUACGUAGCCGACCUGAGAGGGUGAUCAGCCCCACUGGAACUGAGCCACGGUCCAGACUACUCCGGGAGGCAGCAGAAGAGAAUCGUACACAAUGGGCGAAAGCCUGACGGAGCAAAGCCGAGUGAGUUAUGAAGGUCUUCGGAUCGUAAAACUAUGUUAUUAGGGAAGAACAAAUGUGUAAGUAACUGUGCCCGUCUUGACGGUACCUAAUCAAAAAGCCACGGCUAACUCCGUG